AAGGAAUGUAUAAAGCUUGUGGUUCUGGGUUCACCUUGGACCAAAACCACAUGAAAAAUCAAACAUUGCUGUGAAGAAAACAAUAUAGCAUUCCAUUUCGUGGAAACUCAAUUAGGGAAAGGGAAAUUAACAGCUCCCGGGCUAUAAACCCUAAAAGCUCUUCCCAAAUUUGGUUGAGAAGAAAUGGAGAAUUCAACUCAAGAAUCCCACCUGAGAUCCGAUAAUUCGGUAACCUACGAAUCAGCUUACACAGUUUAUGCCAUGGCCUUAUCUUCCACGCCUUCCUCCACCAAUAUCAACCAUCAACGCAUCGCUCUCGGCAGCUUCCUCGAAGAUUACACUAACAGAGUCGACAUAAUCUCAUUUGAUCCAGAAACCCUCUCCUUCAAGACCCACCCAAAGCUUGCCUUCGACCACCCUUAUCCACCCACCAAGCUCAUGUUCCAACCCAAUCGAAAAUCCGCUUCAUCCUCUUCUUCUUGUUCCGAUCUUCUCGCUUCAACCGGCGAUUUCCUGCGUCUCUGGGAAGUUCGAGAAUCUUCCAUUGAACCUGUCACUGUUCUAAACAAUAGCAAAACCAGCGAGUUUUGUGCCCCGUUAACUUCCUUCGAUUGGAACGAUGUUGAACCCAAGAGAAUUGGGACUUCCAGCAUCGACACAACUUGCACCAUUUGGGACAUCGAGAAAUGCGUCGUUGAAACCCAAUUGAUCGCUCAUGAUAAAGAGGUUUACGACAUUGCUUGGGGUGAAGCUAGAGUUUUUGCUUCCGUUUCCGCUGAUGGGUCCGUUAGGAUUUUCGAUUUGAGAGACAAAGAACAUUCCACCAUCAUUUAUGAAAGUCCCCAACCCGACACCCCUUUAUUAAGAUUGGCUUGGAACAAGCAAGAUUUGAAGUAUAUGGCUACCAUUCAAAUGGAUAGCAAUAAAGUUGUGAUUUUGGAUAUAAGGUCACCCACAACCCCCGUUGCUGAGUUGGAGCGGCAUCACGCUAGUGUCAAUGCCAUUGCCUGGGCUCCUCAGAGUUGUAAGCAUAUUUGUUCCGCUGGGGAUGAUACCCAGGCUCUUAUUUGGGAGUUGCCUACGGUGGCGGGACCUAAUGGUAUCGAUCCUCUGUGUGUUUACUCUGCUGGCUACGAAAUUAAUCAAUUACAGUGGUCUGCUGCGCAACCUGAUUGGAUUGCCAUUGCCUUUUCCAACAAAUUGCAGCUUCUCAAAGUUUGAGCUUGGAUGAAGCAUUGUCUAGGCCUGCCAGAGAUCUUGUAUACUUCAAUGGAACAGGUAGUAUUCUGUAGAAUUUGUUGUUGCAGCAGGAAUAUAACUCCUUGGAGGAGGUUCAAAAUUGAAGGAUCAAUGCAACAGGUGUAACCAUGAGGCAUGAUAUGGUGGUUGCUCACCAAAUCCGUUAACUAUGUGGUUAGGUGUUCGAUCCCCGUUUAUAAUAAUGGAGCACGUUUCAUGGUCAAUCGUUUAUCCCUUUGAAGAGUACUUGUGACGAGGGGAUUAAUCAUCAUUGUUGGCGGUGAAUACCUUGGUUACGACCAAAAAUACAGCAGAUCAAGAAGCUACUAAAGGCCCAAGUGAUAAAGGCAAAGGACAUGCUUUAUAGACUUUACUAUAAUUUCUAGCUUACUGGUUGAAAGAAGACCUACCUGAAAGACUACACCGGAGCGCUGCUGCUAUUGUGAGAUAAUAUGUUUUGUUUGUAGUAUGCAUGAAGCGUGGGAGUGGCAUCUAAGUAUAUAUUUUUAGAAUAAUUUGUACAAAGAACUUUUUGUUAAAACUUUGUUUUUAUGAAAUUUUAUUGAAAUUUCAUGCUUUGGAUAUUAAA